rnacentral:misc_RNA from 1 species
UCCCCGUUACCGGGGCAGUCUGGCCAGAAAAAUUCAACUGACCAUAAGGGUUGCGCUCGUUGAGGGACUUAACCCUACAUCUCACGACACGAGCUGACGACGGCCAUGCAUCACCUGUCACCGCGCUCCCGAAGGCACUCUCUCCUUUCGGAGAAAUUCGCGGGAUGUCAAACCCUGGUAAGGUUCUUCGCUUACCGUCGAAUUAAACAACACGCUCCACCGCUUGUGCGGGUCCCCGUCAAUUCCUUUAUGUUUUAGCCUUGCGGCCGUACUCCACAGGCGGGAUGCUUAACGCGUUAGCUUCGCUACUGACCGGGUCGAUACGGCCAACAGCUAGCAUCCAUCGUUUACGGCGUGGACUAC